rnacentral:rRNA from 1 species
AUUAAGGGCCAUGCCUAGUACGGCGAGUGAGCGGCAACAGCUCAAAUUUGAAAUCUGGCUCUUUCAGAGUCCGAGUUGUAAUUUGCAGAGGGCGCUUUGGCUUUGGCAGCGGUCCAAGUUCCUUGGAACAGGACGUCACAGAGGGUGAGAAUCCCGUACGUGGUCGCUAGCUAUUGCCGUGUAAAGCCCCUUCGACGAGUCGAGUUGUUUGGGAAUGCAGCUCUAAAUGGGAGGUAAAUUUCUUCUAAAGCUAAAUACUGGCCAGAGACCGAUAGCGCACAAGUAGAGUGAUCGAAAGAUGAAAAGCACUUUGGAAAGAGAGUCAAACAGCACGUGAAAUUGUUGAAAGGGAAGCGCUUGCAGCCAGACUUGCUUGCAGUUGCUCAUCCGGGCUUUUGCCCGGUGCACUCUUCUGCAGGCAGGCCAGCAUCAGUUUGGGCGGUGGGAUAAAGGUCUCUGACACGUUCCUUCCUUCGGGUUGGCCAUAUAGGGGAGACGUCAUACCACCAGCCUGGACUGAGGUCCGCGCAUCUGCUAGGAUGCUGGCGUAAUGGCUGUAAGCGGCCCGUCUUGAACACCCGGACCAAAACAGCUUU